rnacentral:rRNA from 1 species
AAACUCAAAUGAAUUGACGGGGCCCGCACAAGCGGUGGAGCAUGUGGUUUAAUUCGACGCAACGCGAAGAACCUUACCAGGGCUUGACAUCCCCUGACCGCGUAUGAAAGUACGUUUUCACCUUCGGGUGACAGGGAGACAGGUGGUGCAUGGUUGCCGUCAGCUCGUGUCGUGAGAUGUUGGGUUAAGUCCCGCAACGAGCGCAACCCCUACGUUUAGUUGCUAACGCGUGAAGGCGAGCACUCUAGACGAACUGCCGUUGACAAAACGGAGGAAGGUGGGGAUGACGUCAAAUCAUCAUGCCCCUUAUGUUCUGGGCUACACACGUGCUACAAUGGCCGGUACAGACGGACGCAAAGCCGCGAGGUGGAGCAAAUCCGAAAAAGCCGUCCACAGUUCGGAUUGGAGUCUGCAACUCGACUCCAUGAAGCCGGAAUCGCUAGUAAUCGUGGAUCAGCAUGCCACGGUGAAUACGUUCCCGGGCCUU